AUGACAGUAUUUUCACCUAACAUCAUUCUCUUUUGUCUUAUUAUGUUUCAGACCGGAAUGGGUAGCCCGGGUGCAACUGGUAACACAGGGAUGGGCUGGGUAGGGCCGAGUGCAACGGGGCAAGGUAACCGGGGGUCAACUGCUGGAACAGGAUCGAUGGCAGGAAUAGGUGGGUGGGGCACAUCUGCAUCUGCAUCUGCAACAGGAAACGGCAAUACAUUUUUUGGCAACACAGGAAUGGGCGGGCCAGGGUCAAGUGCAACAGGAGUGGGUACUAGGGGAUCAGGAGGGACAGGACUGAGUGGUGCCGGGUCAACAUCAGGUGUUGCAAAGAAAAUUGGACCAGGCUUGGGUAGCCCCAACAGUUACAGUUUAGCAAAUAUCAAUCAAUACUUACGCGAGCUGCAGCAGUAUUCCAAGCCCAACUCCGGCUCAGAAGUAUCUGGGUAA
rnacentral:lncRNA from 13 species